rnacentral:tRNA from 1 species
GGCAGCAGAGCGGAACGCUAUGCGCCACUUUCCAUCACUAUUCGGCCUAAAGAAAACAUCAAAAUCAGUAAGUUACUGAUUUCACUCGUUUCGAAUUGGGACUCAUAAUCGCUUGGUCGCUGGUUCAAACCCAGCAGGGGCCACCA